AUUGAACGCUGGCGGCAGGCCUAACACAUGCAAGUCGAACGGUAACAGGAAGCAGCUUGCUGCUUCGCUGACGAGUGGCGGACGGGUGAGUAAUGUCUGGGAAGCUGCCUGAUGGAGGGGGAUAACUACUGGAAACGGUAGCUACUACCGCAUAAUGUCGCAAGACCAAAGAGGGGGACCUUCGGGCCUCUUGCCAUCGUAUGUGCCCAGAUGGGAUUAGCUUGUUGGUGGGGUAACGGCUCACCAAGGCGACGAUCCCUAGCUGGUCUGAGAGGAUGACCAGCCACACUGGAACUGAGACACGGUCCAGACUCCUACGGGAGGCAGCAGUGGGGAAUAUUGCACAAUGGGCGCAAGCCUGAUGCAGCCAUGCCGCGUGUAUGAAGAAGGCCUUCGGGUUGUAAAGUACUUUCAGCGGGGAGGAAGGGAGUAAAGCUAAUACCUUUGCUCAUUGACGUUACCCGCAGAAGAAGCACCGGCUAACUCCGUG
rnacentral:rRNA from 1 species